AAAUGGAAUUGAGGUUAAAUGACACAGAAAACGUGGCAGAAGCGAGGUUUGGUUCCUAGUCGAGCUGGCGAGAUUUAUCGCGCCACCUGUACAAGUCCACAGGUUUGGAUAGAUUCAGGGGGCGGCCGCCGACGUUGUGAAUUUCUCGAUUUGGCCCAAUAGUCGAGAUCUUUGCGGGUUGGACGACCGUAAUGGCCUAGUUCCGCAGGGCAAAGUUCGUCAUGGGAUAUGCGUGUGGGGUAGGCUUUGCGAUAGAUAGAAUCACCGUCGCGGGGGGAGAACAGUUCCAGACCGGUAGCUCAGACUCCGCUUAUGCUACAACGCUCCAGGGGUACUUUUCUUGUGCUCCUGUUAACUGCCGUAACAAAAAAAAAAAGGAAAAGGAGAUCGGCCGCCACACGCCUGUAAUAACUUGUGUAUUUGCAUCCAGUUACUUGAUUCAGCUUUUGCUUUGUUUUACUAAAUUUGUGAUAUUCAAAUAUUUGCAUUGAUUCCAAACAGAUGUACAGAAUUUCCGUUUGUUCGUUUUUCGUGUGUGUAUGUCGGUCAAUUCGCGAGUGCUUUUCUUUCAGUCAAUUCGCGAGUGUUUUUCUUUCAGUCAAUUCGCUUGUGUGUUUCUUUCACAUAUCUUAAGGUGUUUGAAAUGUAAUAAUAUGUCGUCCGGGAAUAAAACCAAAGGGGGUUUUUGCGCUGAGGGGUAAUUGACCAGUAAAGUAAGGUUAGAAUUUAGAAUGCGCGGCAGUUCAUAAUUCAAAAAUUCUACUAUGGGUUUCUUAUGGGAGCUUGAUUUUACAGACAAAAUACGCCGCAUAGGUAGAAAUCUUAACUAGUUCAUGCUACAAGCGAUAAAGACUGUACAAUUAUCUUCCUGUUGCUAAAGGUUUAACUAUAUAAAAAGCUUCUGUUAAAGAUAUAUUGCAAAUUAAAAACAACGCUAUCCAUCGAAGUAACGUACAUCGUUUCUAACGUCUUGCGCAUGAGUGAAACGGAAAAUCCAGAAACACUUGGGAAAGAAAAAGAACGCGAAUAUUUUGCGGUACUAGUGACGUUUAGAUCGUGAAAAUCCCCAAAAUAUGACAGUUGAUUUCGUAUUUUCACAACAAACAAUCAUAAUCACAAUUUUUGGAUGAUAUAUUAGUUCUGUGAUAUUGAUUCACAUUGGGUUGUAUGUAUCUGUGGACUGGUUUUUUUUGUAUUUGUUAUUAAUAAUGACAGAAAGACAUGUGUUAACAAUAGGGGCAAUUGCCAUUUUUUUUUGUUGGAGAAAAUUCUUUACAGUCAAAUAAUGUAGCGAAAGUCAAUUGGUAUACUGAAUUAAAUGUGCUUGAAGAGUUUAUUCGAGCUAGAAUGCGAGAAGAUUAUGAUAUUCCUUAAGAGAGGCAACAUGUGAAACCCCAAGAGGUGCAUUUGUAUAUCAUCAUAUGGCUACACCUGCCCUACACGGACGUUAUAAUGUAUUGUGGACCAAUAAUUUGCGUGCUUGAGACGUACAUCUGAAGAAAAGUGAAUCAGCUGAGGUCCGAGCUGUUGUCUCUGAAAAUUCUUUUAAUCCCCAAGUCAGCCUAAAAACAGCUAAUGUUGAGGUACAACUUCAUGAAAGCUUAGGACAAACUGAUAGGAGCGAAGCACUGCUUUUGCUAUUGGGCCCUGAACUAGAAAGAUCUGAAGAAAAUCUACUUCACAGUGUCGAAGAACUAUUAGUGUCCGAGGACUAUUUUAAUGGCCCAUCAAGAAAACAGUUUGUGGGUCAGUUUUUCACCAAAAGUGAAUCAGAUUUUGCAUUAGGAAGUGCAAUUUUUUAUUGUAAAAUACUUUUUUUUUGUUUUGAAAUAAAUUGUUCUUUAAAUUGU